GCGCCCGUAGCUCAGGUGGAUAGAGCAGGGGACUCCUAAGCCCAAGGUCGCGUGUUCGAGUCACGCCGGGCGCGCCA
rnacentral:tRNA from 1 species